UGGUGAUGAGAAAGGUGCAGAGGAUGCAGCUCAUAGAGCCCGACAAAAGCAGCAUUUGGUCUUCACUGCCGCAGUCUCGGGUUGGGUGCUGUUUGGGGUAGUGCUGACUUGUAUAGUCACUUCCCAGCUGAGGAAGAGAAAACAAGAAGCGGUACCAGCUAACCCUGCCGCUGCCUCUGACGGAGAAGAGCCCAGUAUGGAGGAAGGCAGAGCACAGCCAGGAAGCGAAAGAAAAAAGGAUGAGUUUACUCUAGAAAAUGAAAAUCCCAGCAGCAGCUCCACUCGGCUUCCUAUUCUAAGCAGAAUAAAAAACCUGUGCAUAUUCUGAAGAGAAUAAAAAACCUGUUGGGCUAAAUGGUGUUAA